GGAAGCUGUUACAGCUCAGAGGUGGUGUGGGGACUCAGGGACUCAUCCUGGCACUGUGGAUAGGGAAAACAAGGCCCAUAAUUUUAUUCAGUCAUAUUCAUAAUUUUGGUAUUCUGGUUUUUAAAUAUGCCUACACAUAAAAUUGGAUAUUACUUUUUCCAUUAAUAUUAAUCACUUCAUAUUGCUGUAGUCUUCAUAACCAUCUUUGUGUGUGUGUGUGUGUGUGUGUGUGUGUGUGUGUGUGUGUGGGGGUAUUGGGAAUGGGACCCAGGGCUUUGUGCAGGGCGAGACAAAUGCUCUAACACUGAGCUACAGCCCCAGACUCUUUAUUUCUCGUUUUGAUUCAGGGUUGUGCUAAAUUGCCCAGGAUGCUCUAGAAGCUUGGGAAGAACUCCUAGAACUCCUGCCUCAAUCUCUUGGGAUUUAUAGGCAUCCACCACCAAAAAUGGACUUAUAACCAUCAUUUUUUAAAAAAGGAUGUUUGCUUAUAAUUUGAGAACUUUAUUUUUUUCCCUUUUUAUUAGUGCCUGUUUGCAGCACAUACUGUUUACAGUCCUUGCAUACAUCAUUCCUUUCUUCAUGUCUGUCCCUGUCCUCCCUCCUGCUACCUUAAUCUCUUUUUUUUUUGGUACGCGAUCGAACUUUCGGGACCUUGCGCUUACAAGGCAGGCACCGGAACCACUGAGCUAAAUCCUUGGCCCUCCCCCUCAUCUCUUGAUCCCUAUAUCGCCUCUGAGAAAGAGCUGUCUCCCUGCUUACUAUUAUCUAUCUAUCAUUUUUAAGAUGAAUUACUGUUGAAUAGUUCUAUUGGGUCCAAUAUUUGGGUAUUUAAAUUGAUAUAAUUGUUUCAAAAUGCUGAAAAUGCUUAGGUCUCUUCAACCUGCUUCUCCCCAACCUCACAUUGUAUUUUCCACUAUUUAGGAACAGAUUCUCAGGAGUCAGAUUACUGGAAUGUGGAAAUGUUUUGUAAAAUUCUUGUUGUAGUAUGUACAUGUAACGCUCCCCAAGAUGAUUAUAAACCUCAUGAACUGCAAAAA
rnacentral:lncRNA from 1 species